CAAAUUAUCAACAGAAAAUCUCAGUGUAUGGAAGACUUGAUUGAGAGGGGCAGGUGUCCACUGGUUGAUACCUGGAGGAAAGAGAGUUCUUCUUUUAGUGUGCAGUAAGUGCUGCUGCCUUAUUCACACAUGGGGGAAGGCAUCUCACAAGUGACCUUACAAAUGAGAAGCAGGUGGCAAAAUACAACAUGUGAUAUUGUUCCUGUCUUCUGUCAGAAUGGAUUAUGAGUAACCAGAAAAUUUGGGCAUUUGGAUUUGAAAAGAAGUUAUCUGCUGAAAUUCAAAGACAAAUUUCCAUAUGUUACAAAAUUGAAAUCAAAAUUCCAUAAGGCACUCGCUCCAUCCCUCCAGCCAUCAUCCCAAAAGCAAAGGGGUUCAGUUUGUUCAGGUGGAGCUCGCUUUCUCCACCCCCAGUGCCAGCAAAUCUGUUUGGUGUGGGAGGACGGUGGAGCGUGCCGCCCACAGCCACCUGCUCUGCCGGAGGGCCCGCAGCCUUGCCAGCACUGUGCCAAGGCACCAGCUCGGGGUGGGAGUCUGCAGGAGGCACGGAUCAGCUGGGAGGUGUGCUGCUCUGCUUCUCCCUUGCUUGCGGAUGACCUUUGCUGAUAAAGAUUAGCCAGAGGCUUUUGGAACAUCACAUAGCACUGGAUACUGGGACUGACGAUGAAGUCAUCCUGAGGGGAGCCUGAGGAACUAACUGCUGCUUUGUAAGCUUUUCUGCAGUGUGUCCCUGGUGUCUGAGGAAUCCUGGGGUGCAAGAAAAGAGAUAUAUUUGGAUUUUAAAAAAUGACUCCACGGUGUCUCCCCAUUUCCUAGUUGAGCAUACAUUGGUGGAUCUCAAACCAUUCCCAUGAAGUGACAUGUCACCUUGAGCUGUUUGAAGAGGUCUGGAAGCAUCAUCUGACACUCUCAUCCCCAAGACCUGCUGAAGUUCCUCCAACCUCUCCCAUACAACGUAAAUCAGGCACGUUUACGUCACUCAGUCUGCAUUGCAGAGUCCUCUACACUCCAUCCCAGAGAUGCUGAUAACCUGCUCACUUAUCCAAGCUCACUUAGUGGGUACAUGUGAUGUCUCCUCAACUGUUGGGGGUGUCUCAGUGCUACAUCAAAGAAGCAAUACAUGACUUGAGCUCUGUAAGACUGUUAUGUUUUCUCCAGGCUUUCAAACCAGACUGUUGCUGCUAGCCCUACCAAAAGAACUGCUGCCUGGCCAAGAAGAGCUGGAGCUCUGCUAAUGCAGCUGUACUUAAGAAGGAGCCCUCACGCCUAGGAGGAUGGAUGCUCUCCUGGAAAAAGAUAAGAUGCUGGCUUUCCUUACAUGUGUAUCACUUGGCUGCAUUCAGUGUGAAGGAGCUUUGUGAGGAAAGAUGCUGUGUGGAAACAAAGAGAACAUGGUCAGGAGGAUGAAAGGUCAUGAUCAGACAAUCCUGGAAUUUAGAGCUGCCACCUCUGGUGUAUCUUUGCAUUCAGCGAUCCUCUUCGCACUCUUGGUUUGAGCUGGUGGAGGGGCCUGAACCUGCCUUCAGAGUCAGUCUCCAGUAUUUCCCAUCAUGAGCACUGCAGGCACUUGCUGGAGAGUAAUGGUGCUAAAAGCAGUUUCUCAGGGGGGGUUGCUAUUUGUCUUUCACUUUUGGGAUAGGACCACAGAUUGGACACUUCCGACUAGUGCCAGCACAAAGUCCCCUCAAGCUCCUCCUUUCCUGCAAUAUACAGUCAGUCCCUA
ensembl:lncRNA